rnacentral:lncRNA from 1 species
CUCUCCCUCCUUCCUUCCUCUAUUUACUUUUUUUGCUGCCCCCCCAUCUCUAAUAUCAUUUUCACCCACCCACGGUGAUGCUGCCUGUUUGUAAUUUUCUCCUGACCCUAAUGGCUUCGGUUUCCCCUCAGUAUUUAAGCGGAACAAGACAGAGCCUCCUGCUCGAUAACCUCUCCUCUCCUGACCUGUCUGAUCCUGGGAGUUGCUUCCUCUGCCCAGCUUGGAACCAAGACCGUGGUGUAGUUUGAAUUCCUUGGCCUCCACAGCUAACUCUUUG